rnacentral:rRNA from 1 species
GAUGAACGCUAGCGGCAGGCCUAAUACAUGCAAGUCGAACGGGAUCUGAGGGUAGCUUGCUACCCGAUUUGAGAGUGGCGCACGGGUGCGUAACGCGUGAGCAACCUACCCAUAUCAGGGGGAUAGCCCGAAGAAAUUCGGAUUAACACCGCAUAAUAAUACGCUAACACAUGUUGAUGUAUUUAAAUAUUUAUAGGAUAUGGAUGGGCUCGCGUGACAUUAGCUAGUUGGUAAGGUAACGGCUUACCAAGGCGACGAUGUCUAGGGGCUCUGAGAGGAGAAUCCCCCACACUGGUACUGAGACACGGACCAGACUCCUACGGGAGGCAGCAGUAAGGAAUAUUGGUCAAUGGGCGCAAGCCUGAACCAGCCAUGCCGCGUGCAGGAUGACUGCCCUAUGGGUUGUAAACUGCUUUUGUUAGGGAAUAAACCUUCUUACGUGUAAGGAGCUGAAUGUACCUAAAGAAUAAGGAUCGGCUAACUCCGUGCCAGCCGCCGCCGUAAGAC